rnacentral:snoRNA from 1 species
AGUCCAUGGUGAGGACACCUUCGUAGUAGGUCCUUGUAUCUCUCCCAUGCAUUAUAAAAAGGUUUCUAAUUCCAUCUGCACAAACGAAGAGAUAUCAUUAUGUAAUU